rnacentral:rRNA from 1 species
UACGUAGGGACCAAGCGUUGUUCGGAUUUACUGGGCGUAAAGGGCGCGUAGGCGGCAAUUCAAGUCAGCUGUGAAAUCUCCGGGCUUAACUCGGAAAGGUCAACUGAUACUGUGCGACUAGAGUGCGGAAGGGGCAACUGGAAUUCUCGGUGUAGCGGUGAAAUGCGUAGAUAUCUAGAGGAACACCUGCGGCGAAGGCGGGUUGCUGGGCCGACACUGACGCUGAUGCGCGAAAGCCAGGGGAGCGAACGGG